rnacentral:sRNA from 1 species
CUCGAAACCACCUUCAAACCGGCUUUCUCCUACCCAUCAUGGAGCGAUAUCACCAAGCGAUAUUGAGCCAAUUGUCAUGCAAUUGAGCGAGCAAUCGAGGGCGUAUUGGACUGCCAUCACACUCAUCUUUCUUCUCUAGACGCAUCAAUACCUUCGACGGCAUCGAUAGGGGUGAAAUGGCAACCGCAGUAACCACUCACGACCCCAAACUUUUCAGCAUGUAAAUGACCCUACUGCAACUUAUCGGCACCGGUCUGAGAUGGGCAUGUACUAUCCUCCUCCCAGGGGGCUCGCCAGGGAGACCUCUCGGUCCCCUCUUCUUCUCCUUACGCUUCCACGCUUACCGAACUUCUCCUACACCUCGGAUCCCAUCGUCAAAUGAAUGCGUAAGCACCGCACCUACCCCGCCUGUCACCAUUCCAACCAUUUGGCUCAUGAAGAACUCUGCCGCGGUCGACGUCCUCAUUACCAUAGCCGACACAAUGGGCUCACAUAUCUCCUCUGUACAUCCCUCCAAGGGAUACCCAAUAGUAUUGUAACUUUGGAACCCCACAUUGAAGAAGGGCAACGAAGGAAUGUUGUCAGAAUCUGCAGAGCAACUGAAUAGAUCAUGUCGACUACGAUCUCAAGAUUUACUCUCUAUACCAACAUGGUACACAGUUCACCACUACUCGUACUAAUUGUCGCGAAUCGGAAGACACUCUUUGACUUCGCGCGGCGCCGGUGCCUCGGUUCUCUCCAAAUCAGGGCAAGCAAGGGUAGCUCUAUUGUUUGCCGGCGGGACAUUCAAGCCCUUGGUUAUCUCUAGCGAUGGUCUGUUGGAGGAGAAAAGUGAAGGGGAAGUUAGCCGACGGAAGAGUUAGCUGGGAAAGGUAGGGGAGAGCAGCUGAUAGUGAGGAUGUAUCAGAUGCUGCAAAAAUUCAAAGGACUGCAGAAGCGGGAAGUUGGCCGGGGGAAUGAGGAGAGGAAAGUGUAACGAUAGGUUUCUUACAUAACUUUAUCAGAUGAUAAAUUACGAAAGAGGCGAAAAAGAUAAAGCGAAAAAAAGCAUAAAAAUUAUGUACGCAUUUCUCUUUUUUUUUUUAAUUUCCAUCAACACUGUCAUUCAUUUAUAGCACACAGAAUAAUCUAGCAGUGGAAGAACGUGGAGCGGGAGAAUUGUGCACAUAGAACGAAAGAUGAUUUGCUUAUCAUUUAUUUUUAGUUCGGACCUAUGAUAUAGCAUACAUAAUAAUUAUAGUGCCAAUUUUUGCCAUGCUGAAUCAUACGCUUGAUCAUAUUUACCAGCAAGUAUAUUUGAGCGCCAAGCAAAAGAAGAAGAAAAGGUAAGAUGUCCGGAGAGCUGCAAUCAAGUUAUUGUUCAGGCGAUCCGCUACGGUGGAUCUCAACGUUAAUGGGGGAAACGCUCGAAACAAAUGGAGAAAUAGACUAACAUA